UGUAUUAAUAUCUUUCCAAGCAUAAGUCUGCGCACUGAGACUUUUUUUCAUUCAAGGCAUUUUCCCCCAGUCUGCUGUGUCCUUGAGGAAAUUCUGGAGGGAUGCUGGAGAGCUGUUGUCAUGCUGGAACUUGAAUAGGACAUUACAGAGUGCAAGAUCAGAAACCACCCUUCACACAAUAGCUGUGCCAGAAAUGGCUCACCAGGAAGGCAGAUUGCCGAGGGGAAUCCACGUGUUCAGGUGCUUACAAGGCCAAACAGAUAGAAGAGCAGAAUCACAGCACCCAUCUCACCCUGCCGAGGAGGAGGCUCAGGGCACUGUGAAAGUGUGA
rnacentral:lncRNA from 1 species